rnacentral:rRNA from 1 species
GACGAACGCUGGCGGCGUGCUUAACACAUGCAAGUCGAACGGAGCUUUUUGGAUAGAGACUUCGGUCAAUUGAAUUAAAGCUUAGUGGCGGACUGGUGAGUAACGCGUGAGGAACCUGCCUUUCAGAGGGGGACAACAGUUGGAAACGACUGCUAAUACCGCAUGACGCAUUCGGAUCGCAUGGUCUGAAUGCCAAAGAUUUUAUCGCUGAAAGAUGGCCUCGCGUCUGAUUAGCUAGUUGGUGAGGUAACGGCCCACCAAGGCGACGAUCAGUAGCCGGACUGGGAGGUUGAGCGGCCACAUUGGGACUGGGAUACGGCCCAGACUCCUACGGGAGGCAGCAGUGGGGAAUAUUGGGCAAUGGACGCAAGUCUGACCCAGCAACGCCGCGUGAAGGAAGAAGGCUUUCGGGUUGUAAACUUCUUUUAUCAGGGAAGAGUAGAAGACGGUACCUGAUGAAUAAGCCACGGCUAACUACGUGCCAGCCGCCGCUGUAACAC